rnacentral:rRNA from 1 species
ACGCUCGACACCUACGAGGCAGCAGUCGGGAAUAUUGCGCAAUGGAGGGAACUCUGACGCAGUGACGCCGCGUAUAGGAAGAAGGUUUUCGGAUUGUAAACUAUUGUCGUUAGGGAAGAGAAAGGACAGUACCUAAGGAGGAAGCUCCGGCUAACUACGUGCCAACAGCCGCGGUAAUCUGAGCGGGCUGGCAAGGC